UACGUAGGGUGCAAGCGUUGUCCGGAAUUUAUUGGGCGUAAAAGAGCUCGUAGGCGGCUUGUCGCGUCGGCUGUGAAAACCUGGGGCUCAACUCCGGGCCUGCAGCCGAUACGGGCAAGCUAGAAUUCGGUAGGGGAGACUGGAAUUCCUGGUGUAGCGGUGAAAUGCGUAGAUAUCGGGAGGAACACCAGUGGCGAAGGCGAUCAUCUGGGGGUUGUUCUGACACUGAGGAGCGAAAAGCUAGGGGAGCAAACGGG
rnacentral:rRNA from 1 species